ensembl:lncRNA
GGCCCCCCAAGGCUCCGGAUCCCGCGCUUCGCCAUCUUACCCCGGGAGAAAAGGAACGCGAGCGCGGGAACUGCGUUCGAGAACGGGGGCGGCAACUUCACAGCCGUUGUGUUUUUUUUUUCCUCCCCCUCCCGCUCCUCGAGCCGUUAGUCCGCGAUGGGACCCUGCGACGGUUCAAGCAUGCGGGCCCUGCUGGAGACCCUCGAGGACCCAAGCGCCUCGCCGGGGGUGUUGACAGACGCGUGGCUGACCCUCACGAAUCGCUUGACUGAAGAAGAGGAGGAUGAAGAUGAAGGAAAAGAAUUUGCAGCUGAGGUUGAAAACUCUUUUCCCCAGCUUUACAAGAUAUUUAUGACACAUAUUCCUACUGAAAAUUCGGAGCUGAGCAGUGCAGUUUUACAAGCUUUAGGAUUCUGUGUGUGUAAUCCAAAGAUUGCUUCCUUAUUAUGCGAAAUAGAAAUACAUGAACUACUGUCUAUAUUAAACAGCGUUGCUACAAAUUCAGGAGACAAACACACUCGAACAAGAGCACUGUGGGUGAUCUCAAAACAGUCCUUUCCUCCAGAUACGGUUGGAAAGUUGGUACCCAAGAUUAUUGCUAUGCUAGAAACACUACUUCAUAAAGGAGAUUCACAUUCCAUGGUGGUUGAAUAUGAAGCACUAAAUGUUAUCAUCCGGCUGAUAGAACAGGCUCCAUCUGACAUGGAGGAACAGGCUGUGACGUGGGCUAAGAUGAUAAUUCCUUUGCUGGUUCACUCAGCUCAUAAAGUACAGUUAAGAGCUGCUAGUGCUUUGGAAAUGGGUCUACCACUUCUUCAGCAGAACCAAGAGGUGAUAGCAGUUGCUGAGCAACUCCUGACUACUAAAGUAAUUCCAGAACUCCAAAAGCUAUUUUUUUCAAAACAUGAAACAUAUAUUCUGAAACUCUGGCCUCUGUUUGUAAAGCUGCUUGGAAAAACAUUGCAUCAUAGUGGAAGCUUUAUCAAUUCCUUGCUGCAUUUAGAAGAACUUGGAUUUCGUAGUGGCUCCCCAGUGGUGAAGAAAAUAGCUUUCAUUGCAUGGAAAAGUCUGAUUGAUAACUUUGCUUUAAAUCCAGAUAUAUUAUGCAGUGCAAAAAGGCUGAGAUUGCUGAUGCAGCCACUGACCUCUAUUCAUGUGAGAACUGAAACUCUGGCACUGACCAAGCUUGAAGUUUGGUGGUAUUUAUUAAUGAGGCUUGGAUCUCAGCUUCCAGUCCACUUUGAACAGGUUUGUGUACCAUUAAUUCUGAACACUUUAAGCCUAGUUGCCUCUCCACUACAAGACAAUUCAUCAUGGCUAAUUUCUAAUCAGAAUUUAUCUAUGCCAUUUUUCCCUUUUGGAAAUAAUGCCACUCCAAAGAUGACUUUGAAUUCUAGCAAUGAAGGAGUUGUUAUUCCAUCUAUUCAGCUUCUAGGAAUUGAAAUGCUGCUUCACUUCUUUAUGGGACCAGAAGUAUUGACUUUCGCCAAGGAAAAUAAAAUUGUACUUAGUUUAGAACCUCUUCAGUGCCCAGUAAUCAACAGCCCUUCCUUUUUCUGCAAGUAUGCCAGUGUUUUCAUAAAUGCAGCUCGGGAUGGUUUCAUUGCAAUUGGAAGAGAUGUUUCCGGUAAGGACUUUAUGUGCAGGUUGGAUAUUUAUGGCAACAAAAGAGAACGGCAGAAUUCAGAAGUAUUAACUAUGUUGCUGCAGACUUUAAAAAACAUUAUUUUGUCAAAAGAAUUGCCAGUAUUAAACUCAUUGCCCUUGUUAGAAGUGGCUAUUAAAGAAUUGCCUCCAAAAGUAUUGGGAUCACCAGCCUAUCAGAUUGCUGACAUGGAUCUUCUGAAUGGAACUCCAGCACUGUUCCUGGUUCAGCUUUUAUUCUGUGAAGAUCUUCUGAAAUGUGGAGUUGAAAACAGAAGAUUCUUUUCAAACUUCGAAACUCUUGUGGAAUGUGCUUUGUCUGGCCCUACGUCUCCUCUGGCUUUUACUGAGUCUGUACUCACAAUUGUGAGUCAAAAUGCCAUGCACUUGGAAAAUAAGGAAUAUUUGUGGCGAAUGUGGAGUAUUAUGGUUAACCCAUUAACUGAAUGGAUUAAACAGACGAAUGAAGUCAAUCAAGGGGAUGCUUUGGAGCAUAAUUUCAAUGCAAUUUAUUCUGCACUGUUGCUACCAGUAAACUAUAUAUUUUCAUCUUCUGAGUUCCCAGAGCUUGCCAUGAAAACACUAUUGCGUUCUUGGUCAGAACUGUAUAAAGCAUUUGCCCGUUGUGCAUUACUAGUAGCAACAGCAGACGAUAACAUAUGCUGUGAGGAACUCUGUGCCAAAAUAAUAUCUGGAUUAAAAGAUGAAACACAUCUUGUAAGACUCUCUUAUAUUACAGCCGUCAUAGUUGAAUGCAUCUGUUUUGCACCUUAUGAUAAGAGAUUCCUAUCAGCACAUAAACCUCCACAGACGCUGGUGGAGUGGGCCAGAAGGUCGAAAAAUCCCCUUGGCAAGCUGUGUUCUGUAAUGAAACUUCUGAUAAUACUGAUAAACUCUCUUAAGAUGCUUGUAUCCGAGGAAUCUGACUUUGAACAAUUAGCUCCUGUUGCUUUUGUGAUCAUUGGUAUUCUUCAGAAUAUCAUUGCCCACAUCUCUUUGCCUUCUGUCAUCAGAGCGGUCUUGGGAUUUAUUGCAAAACCUUUCACGGCAGAUCAUAACAAGUCUUUCAAGGGCUGCACUGGUUACCAGUGGUGUGAAAAGUUACUGGCAGACAGCCUUACUUGUUUGCAGUCGAACUAUACUGCAGCCUUUGACAGCUGUGUCUUGAAAGAGGUUUUUCCAUUAUUAAGUGCAAUGCUUUUAAAUAAGAAUAAGCAUAUAAGCAGUCAUGCUGCUCGCUUUUGGAAUACAACGUUUGGAAAAGAGGAAGGCCUGGAAUACCCUGAAGAAUUUAACCACAUUAUUGAUAUUUUAAUUUAUUUUAAUAAAUUAUGCUUACAUAUGUUAAAACAGACGGAGAACUCCCAGUGGGGUGCAAACAUCAGUGGGAUAAAAGUAAAUCCUAAUGGAAAAAGGGACUCAUUCCUGGCCCAAACCGGUGAGCCAGAGGAAGAAAGUAUAAAGCUAGAAUUCUCACGGUCAAAAUCAAAUAUAAAAAACAUUCCUUUGGAAGAAGAAAACACUGUGGACUUCGUGUACAUUCCUGCAGAAACAAAAGAGCGAGUCUUAACAGAGCACCAAAAAGAAGUUCUGAGAACUAAAAGGUUUGUCAUGUUAUAUUCAAUCACAUUAACUUAUCAUCAGCUUGUCAUUCCGCAUGCAGUAACUGGAAAUUACAAAUCAAAUAUAUCUCUGGAGAAAAUUACUUCUACUGUUACUGAGCAACCUAAUAACUUUCAGAAAGAGAAGCUGGAUCAGAAAAAUCAGGAGUUGAAUGUCUGUGUUGCAGUACAAUCUCCGAUAUUAGAUUCUACUUUGAAUGAAAAUCCCCCUAAUUGCAGCAGCAACUCUUCAAGUUCUAGUGAUAUAAUUUCACCAACACCACAGGCAGUGGUGAACAGAAGGCAAGCCUUUGUUACUUUGGAAAAAUUCAAUGACUUAGAGAACAGACCUUUCAGUCCUUCAGUUUUUAGUAAUAUUUCUAUAACAUUAACAAGUCCGUUUAUGCAGAAGGAAAGCGCAGUUGCUACAGAUGUCUCUUCAAAAGAAAAGUCAAAUCCGGAGAAUAAAGAUGGUGUAAAACUCAGAGCAAGAAAAACGGUCGCUGGCACAAAGAGGACGCGCUUAGAGUUCUUAAAUGCUCUAGAGAUGUGUGUCAAAUCAAAAAGAAUCAAAGAAGAAAAUAUUCCUGAUUCAAAAUUGCAGUCUACCAACACGGUUGAGAUGAAGACGUCAAGCCUUAGACAGAGUAAAACUCCGGAUGACAAAACUUCAGAGCAAAUGCAGUCAGACCAAGAGGGAAAAAUCAGGUUUCUGAUAAGCUUUGCAAGGAGAAGCAGGAAUUAUCUGUGGGCACUGAAAAAGCAGACCAUUUGCUGGGUGAUCAGUCUCAGAUCCCCAGUGUGGCUGACAGCACAACAGUGGAGAGUAAAAGAGAACCAUCAGGAACAGUUGGACCUGAGUCUUGGGAAACCUGAACGCAGCCCUGCUGCAUCUGACCUUGAAGAACCAAGCCCAGAUGCCUCUGUGGAGAAACUAAAAGUAUUUCCGCGGUAUCAUACAAGAAGAGCAGCUUCACAAGAAUUACUUGCCAGUAUGGAAAACUCUGGAUCUGAUAUCGGUGAAACAAGAGAGGAAGGAGCAAAGAGGAAACGGUCUGGGAAAUUGAAAAAAAAGGAUUCCCCUGGGAACCAAGCAAAGGAAGAGCCAGACAGCCAAGAGCUUUCUUCCCAAGCUGCAGUAGAAAUCCAAACCAGGUCAGUAGGAAAACAGAAAAUAUCUUCUGGCGGAGAGACAGAAGUGCCUCCGAUGUCUACUAAUGCAAAAGAAAUCUGCAUAAAGGAAGAAAGAGAUACUUCCCCGUUAAGUCCCAGUGUGAACCUUAAAGAAAACUCAGGGCCGACACGUCCUGGAGCCUCUUCAGAUACAGGGAGAAAGCCUGCUGACAGGAAGGAAUCCACUCCAGAAUUUCUAGAUGUGUCUGAAUGCCAGCACAAAAGAAGCAAGCGGACAAGGAAAUCCAGGAGCUGCAAAUGCUGUGAUGUAAAGCUGUCUCCCCAAGUGGAAAAAGUAUCCCCUGAACCGAAAAGGGCAAGCACUCCAGAACCAAAGUUAAAAGAGCCAAGGAAGAGCCUCAGUAAAGUAAGCGUGGCCCUGGCCUUGGAUCCUGUUGCUGAAGAGAUUCAUUUGGCCGAGAGGCUGAGCACAGAGCCUUGUGCAACAAGCACCCCGCUGCCUUUCGUUAAGGAUGCCGCUGAUCGGAAAGAGGCCAGCGAUGGUGCUGAAUCUGUCGGUGGCGUCCCAAGAAACAAUACGCCAAACGUUGAACCGGAGAAAUUAGCAUGUGUCCAAAAUGAAAGCGACAAGCCAAAGAAGGCAGAAGAUAAUGCAGCAAGUGCACCAAGGGAACAUCCAACCUUAGUCUUGUGGCAGGAGAAAAGUAGCCCCUUGGAUUCUCCACCAAAAUGUAAAGAACUUGAUUUUCUUUCUUUAGCCAAAGUCAGUGGAAGUCCCACUGGGACACAGGCUCGCUGUCUAUGGUCCCCAUCAGCGUCUCCUUCUAUAAGCAUUUUAAAGAGAGCCAUCAAAAGAGAACCAGAGGAAGAUUCAUCAUCACCUGCAAACAAGAACCGAAGAGUCUCCUUUGCCAAUCCAAUCUACCAAGAAGAAUUGGCAGAUGACAUUGACCGGCGAAGUCCUGUACUUAGAAUUCAUCCUUGCAAUAAUGGCUCUCAGUCUUUGCGAAGUGCUAAAUCUUCACCUAAUCACCAAGCCAAGCUUAUAACCACUCCAACCAAAGGAUCUUUGUCCCCUGGAACCCGUAGCCAUAAAUAUAAGACCUCAAAGAAGUGUUUAAUCACAGAAAUGGGCUCGGAGCCAACACCAGUACCUACAGAAAGCAUAUAUCCUGCCCUGAUGGGCUGUAAAGCAUCUGUCGACAUAAUUCUGCCUCAGAUUACUUCAAAUACUUGGACGAGAGGGUUAGGACAUCUGAUUCGAGCAAAGAAUAUCAGAACAGUGGGUGACUUGAGUUCUCUCACCGCAGCCGAGAUCAAAACACUUCCCAUUCGCUCUCCUAGAGUUUUAAACCUUAGAAAGGUUCUUAAAGGCUAUCAUGAGCAGCAGGUAAAAUCUCGUGGAAUGGAGGAAAAUGCUGGCCUGGAUGAUACAGAGAAAUCAAUCAGUGCUAUGGAUGAGACAUUUUUUUCCACAAAUGAAAAUGCAGGUAAGUAUCACUUAAACCUACACGAUCUUACGGGUGAGUCAUCAGCAAUAGACCUUUGGGCUCAGGUAAAUCUACUUGCUGACCAAAUUACUUCUGAAAGACUUCGGAACUAUUCAGAGAACGAACUCUUUGAAAUGCAAGAGAAACUUCAUACCAUUACAGACUGCAUCAUGAAAACUCUGAAGUCCCGUUGGAUGCUUUCAAGAUCUUGUGAAACCACUGUUUAA